GUUGCCCUCUAAUAGCUUCAGAAUCUUAAGGUUCGGAGCCUGUUCUCUAUUCGUAAAUUCAGGCCAACUCAAGCAAGUUAUGGAGAAGCAGAAUUUAGACUUGUACUGGAGGAAUAUUCAGAUUAUGCAAGAGAAUGACAGGCUAAGGAAGACUGCUCAACGACUCAGACAGGAGAAUGAAGCUUUGUAUUCUGAGCUUAAACAGAGACUAGCAGCAGCAAGAAAUAAUCAAAUACCUGAACUUGAACUCAGGCUUGGCCCCAGUCCUUCUGCAGAUCAAAUGAAACCCAAGAAUCCUCAGCCGCCUCCAUGCAGCUAAAGCUAUUCCAAGUGCCUCUUCUUGCUCUCGGUGAUCCAAGGUCAAGGUUACGGGAAAUUUUUAGUAUGAAUGUUGAUUGUAUUGCCGGAACUACAAACUAUCUAUUGUUUGAAACAAUAUGGUUUAUAGGAAUAAGAAGUUAAUUAAUAAA